CCGCCAUGCGGCAUGCUUUUGUCGUCUACUGUACUCUCGCCUUCAUCGACGAUGGCGACGAUAUCGAUCAGGCCGCCCUCGACUUGAUCCUCCACCCCGCACCGUUUAGGCAGAGCCCGGAAACGGAGAUGAUUAAGCGAUUCUACUGGAGAGUCAAACGCGCGGCAAUACAGCGCAUCAGAGAUUUUAGAAACGACAGACAUCACUAAAAUACAGCAACAACCAACUCUCGGGUGCCACGGAUCGGAACACCACCCGAACAUGUUACAACCUUUCUUUUUAGAUAUACGAAGCCCAACACUGGAAAUGCUAUCUCAAUCUCACAAAAACCAAAUUAAAUAAUUAAUUUUUUUGUGUUAUUCGGUUCCUGCACUUUUAAAUGUUAUCUGUAUUCUUUAAAAAGCUUUACCUAUUGAUUGAUAAAUGUGAUUAUCUUUUAUUGAAAGAAAUCACAUCUAGAUGGAUGAGAAAUCUAGGAAGCAUCGAGAAACACCUAAAGUUAUAUUUAUUCGAAGAACAAAGAAAGAAAACAACUUAACUUUGAUGAUAAACCUAGAUGUCAACGACUCGAAACGUGAUAAAUCUAGAAAGCAACGUUGGAUGGAAAAGGAAGAAAAACACAGCUAGAUGGUUGAUAAACCUAUAAAGCAACGACGUUGAAUAUAAGAUAUUAUUUUAAAUUGUAAAAGAAUAUAGCUUGAUGGUUGAAAAUACUAGAAACCAUCUAAAAAUCAACGAUCAAAAAUACAACUGGAUGGUUGACAAAUCUAGGAAACGAAACACUAAAUAUAAAAUGAAUUUUUUAUGUACAAACAAAAAAUCUAGGUUCAUGAUAAGCCUAGAAAAGAAACGAUAUCGCUGAUAAAACAACUAGGUGGAUAGAAUACAGCUUGGUGGUUGAAAAUACUAGAAACCAUCUAAAAAUCAACGAUCAAAAAUACAACUGGAUGGUUGACAAAUCUAGGAAACGAGACUCUAAAUAUAAAAUGAAUUUUUUAUGUACAAACAAAAAAUCUAGGUUCAUGAUAAGCCUAGAAAAGAAACGAUAUCGUUGAUAAAACAACUAGGUGGAUAGAAUACAGCUUGAUGGUUGAAAAUACUAGAAACCAUCUAAAAAUCAACGAUCAAAAAUACAACUGGAUGGUUGACAAAUCUAGGGAACGAGAGACUAAAUAUAAAAUGAAUUUUUUAUGUACAAACAAAAAAUCUAGGUUCAUGAUAAGCCUAGAAAAGAAACGAUAUCGUUGAUAAAACAACUAGGUGGAUAGAAUACAGCUUGAUGGUUGAAAAUACUAGAAACCAUCUAAAAAUCAACGAUCAAAAAUACAACUGGAUGGUUGACAAAUCUAGGGAACGAGAGACUAAAUUUAAAAUGAAUUUUUUAUGUACAAACAAAAAAUCUAGGUUCAUGAUAAGCCUAGAAAAGAAACGAUAUCGUUGAUAAAACAACUAGGUGGAUAGAAUACAGCUUGAUGGUUGAAAAUACUAGAAACCAUCUAAAAAUUAACGAUCAAAAAUACAACUGGAUGGUUGACAAAUCUAGGAAA